rnacentral:rRNA from 1 species
AGUGGCAAACGGGUGAGUAACACGUAGGUGACCUGCCUCGAAGAGGGGGAUAACCACGGGAAACUGUGGCUAAUACCGCAUAGUCCUAUUUUGAUGAGAAUCUUUUUAGGUAAAACUCUGGUGCUUCGAGAGGGGCCUGCGUCCGAUUAGCUAGUUGGUAGGGUAACGGCCUACCAAGGCGAUGAUCGGUAGCUGGUCUGAGAGGACGAUCAGCCACACGGGAACUGAGACACGGUCCCGACUCCUACGGGGGGCAGCAGUGAGGAAUAUUGGUCAAUGGGCGAAAGCCUGAACCAGCAACGCCGCGUGGAGGAUGACGGCCUUCGGGUUGUAAACUCCUUUUAGGGGGGACAAGUAAGGAUGGUACCCUCAGAAUAAGUCACGGCUAACUACGUGCCAGCAGCCGCGGUAAUACGUAGGUGACGAGCGUUAUCCGGAAUUAUUGGGCGUAAAGCGUACGCAUGCGGUCGAAUAAGUCUGACGUGAAAUCUCUUGGCUUAACUGAGAGCGGUCGUUGGAAACUAUUUGGCUUGAGGCGAUGAGAGGAAUGCGGAAUCCCGGGUGUAGUGGUGGAAUGCGUAGAUAUCCGGGGGAACAUCAGUGGCGAAAGCGGCAUUCUGGCAUUUGCCUGACGCUCAUGUACGAAAGCGUGGGGAGCGAACGGGAUUAGAUACCCCGGUAGUCCACGCUGUAAACGAUGAACACUAGG